rnacentral:rRNA from 1 species
CACGUAGGGUGCGAGCGUUGUCCGGAAUUAUUGGGCGUAAAGAGCUCGUAGGCGGUUUGUUGCGUCUGCUGUGAAAACCUAAGGCUCAACCUUGGGCUUGCAGUGGGUACGGGCAGACUAGAGUGCGGUAGGGGUGACUGGAAUUCCUGGUGUAGCGGUGGAAUGCGCAGAUAUCAGGAGGAACACCGAUGGCGAAGGCAGGUCACUGGGCCGCAACUGACGCUGAGGAGCGAAAGCAUGGGGAGCGAACAGG